GACGAACGCUGGCGGCGCGCCUAACACAUGCAAGUCGAACGAGCGAGAGAGAGCUUGCUUUCUCGAGCGAGUGGCGAACGGGUGAGUAACGCGUGAGGAACCUGCCUCAAAGAGGGGGACAACAGUUGGAAACGACUGCUAAUACCGCAUAAGCCCACGGGUCGGCAUCGACCAGAGGGAAAAGGAGCAAUCCGCUUUGAGAUGGCCUCGCGUCCGAUUAGCUAGUUGGUGAGGUAACGGCCCACCAAGGCAACGAUCGGUAGCCGGACUGAGAGGUUGAACGGCCACAUUGGGACUGAGACACGGCCCAGACUCCUACGGGAGGCAGCAGUGGGGAAUAUUGCACAAUGGGGGAAACCCUGAUGCAGCGACGCCGCGUGGAGGAAGAAGGUCUUCGGAUUGUAAACUCCUGUUGUUGAGGAAGAUAAUGACGGUACUCAACAAGGAAGUGACGGC
rnacentral:rRNA from 1 species